rnacentral:rRNA from 1 species
AACUUCUGAAUGUUGACCUCGGAUCAGGUAGGAAUACCCGCUGAACUUAAGCAUAUCAAUAAGCGGAGGAAAAGAAACCAACAGGGAUUGCCCUAGUAACGGCGAGUGAAGCGGCAACAGCUCAAAUUUGAAAUCUGGCUUUCGGGCCCGAGUUGUAAUUUGUAGAGGAUACUUUUGAUGCGGUGCCUUCCGAGUUCCCUGGAACGGGACGCCAUAGAGGGUGAGAGCCCCGUCUGGUUGGAUGCCAAAUCUCUGUAAAGUUCCUUCGACGAGUCGAGUAGUUUGGGAAUGCUGCUCUAAAUGGGAGGUAUAUGUCUUCUAAAGCUAAAUAUUGGCCAGAGACCGAUAGCGCACAAGUAGAGUGAUCGAAAGAUGAAAAGCACUUUGAAAAGAGAGUUAAAAAGUACGUGAAAUUGUUGAAAGGGAAGCGUUUAUGACCAGACUUGGACUUGGUUAAUCAUCUGGGGUUCUCCCCAGUGCACUUUUCCAGUUCAGGCCAGCAUCAGUUUUCGCCGGGGGAUAAAGGCUUCGGGAAUGUAGCUCUCUUCGGGGAGUGUUAUAGCCCGUUGUGUAAUACCCUGGCGGAGACUGAGGUUCGCGCUUCUGCAAGGAUGCUGGCGUAAUGGUCAUCA